GCCUUGGUCGGAAACUAAGGCAUACCAAAGGAG
rnacentral:ncRNA from 1 species